AGAGUUUGAUCAUGGCUCAGAAUCAACGCUGGCGGCGUGCCUAACACAUGCAAGUCGAGCGAGAAAAGGGGGGCAACUCCCUGAGUACAGCGGCGCACGGGUGAGUAACACGUGGGUAAUCUGCCCUGAAGUGGGGAAUAACACCGGGAAACCGGUGCUAAUACCGCAUACGAUCACGGAGUCUGCGGAUUUUGUGAUGAAAGGAGCAAUUCGCUUUAGGAGGAGCCCGCGGCUGAUUAGCUAGUUGGUGAGGUAAUGGCUCACCAAGGCUACGAUCAGUAUCCGGUCUGAGAGGACGGUCGGACACACUGGAACUGAGACACGGUCCAGACUCCUACGGGAGGCAGCAGUGGGGAAUUUUUCGCAAUGGGGGCAACCCUGACGAAGCAACGCCGCGUGGGUGAUGAAGUCUCUUGGGACGUAAAACCCUUUCGACGGGGAAGAAACCGCAAGGUUGACGGUACCCGUAGAAGAAGCCCCGGCUAACUCCGUGCCAGCAGCCGCGGUAAUACGGGGGGGGCAAGCGUUGUUCGGAAUUACUGGGCGUAAAGGGUGCGUAGGCGGCUCGUUAAGUUAGAUGUGAAAACUCUGGGCUCAACCCAGAGCCUGCAUCUGAAACUGGCGGGCUAGAGUUCUGGAGGGGGUAGCGGAAUUCCUGGUGUAGCGGUGAAAUGCGUAGAUAUCAGGAGGAACACCGGUGGCGAAGGCGGCUACCUGGACAGAAACUGACGCUGAGGCACGAAAGCUAGGGGAGCAAACAGGAUUAGAUACCCUGGUAGUCCUAGCCCUAAACGAUGGAUACUUGGUGUGACCGGGAUUGAAUCCGGUCGUGCCGAAGCUAACGCAUUAAGUAUCCCGCCUGGGGAGUACGGUCGCAAGGCUGAACUCAAGGAAUUGACGGGGGCCCGCACAAGCGGUGGAGUAUGUGGUUUAAUUCGACGCAACGCGAAGAACCUUACCUGGGCUCGAACGGCUAGUGACA
rnacentral:rRNA from 1 species